AAUAGGUACUGUUAAAAUUCUUUGGGGAACAGAGCUGAGCCAGAUGAGGUAACCCAGCAGGGGCUAAGGACAACAUGAUAGUGCCUGACAUUUAUAAGAGAGAUCUGGUACAGAGGGGAGGCAGAACAAGUUUAAAUUUUCUUUUAAAAUUUUGUCUAUGUCUAGUCCCUUAGUGAGGAAGGAAAGUAAAACCUCUUUUCCCUCCAACACCUCCUGCCUGACCUACUACCUAGAACAUCACAAAUUGCAUGGCUUUGGUAAAUGUUGAAAAUUAAGAGUCACAUAUAUAAUUGCUUCUAGAAAAACAAGAAUCAAAAAGUCAGCAAUAUAUAAACAUACUUGUGGAAAACAAAGUAUUUGUAAACGUAUUUACCUGUGAUUAUGACCAUAAUUAAAAGUCACCGAACACUUUUUGUGUGCCGGCACUAUCCCAUUUGCUUUACCAUUAGCUGGGUUUAUUUACAACACACCCAUUAUUGCAGAAAGGGAAGCAAGCUUACAUUACACAGUGAUACCACCCAACGUCAGAGCUAGUUAAUGAGCUGAGUUCCGGUCUGUGUGGGUUCUCAAAUACGCAGAGAGCCUUUAAUUUGGCAAGGCUCCUUCAAUAUCUGCCACACGAAUGAAAUAAUUCUUAAACGUCUCCCUCACCUCCAAAACCUCAAUGUCAUUUAGGUUAACGGAUUUUUCUGGAAACCUGAUGUAUCCUAACAGCUUCACAAUUGCUGGGGUGGGGAGAAGGGGACCAAGUUUUCUUCCCUCGCUGUGUUGCCCAGGCUGGAGUGCAGUGACUAUUCUAGAGCACUACAGCCUGGAAUUCCUAGUCAAGCGAUCUUCCCGCCUCAGCCUACCGCGCAGCUGGGACAGCAGGAGCUCGCCACAGCGCCAGGUUGGACCAGUAUUUCUUAAAGGCUACUUCAAUUUAUACCGCCAGAGGGCAGAGAUUAGCAAAAAAGAAAAAAAGAAAAGGGCGAACAAACCCGACCUGAUGUUCACGUUGUUUUAAUAUUCCAGUACCUUCUGCAUUCUAUUCCAUAAUAAAUGCAUUCGUUCUAGUGUCCACACUAAUAGAAAUUUGUCCAAGCCCACAGAUCAAACUGACGUUCCAGAUAAGGCAGGAUUAACCUGAAGCUUCGCUCUAACCCUCAAUUCCCAGUGUGAAAAGCAGGAAGGGUGGAAUGACAAUUCCAAUUCUAUUUCCUCAGGUCACUUUGCCUCAGUUAUCGGCGUAAAAGGGAAAUUAUUACCUCCCUCUUUGCACUGGUAGAAUUUAUCAAGCCAAUGCACAAGACAGCGCAUGAGUCAUAGCAAGUACUGAGCUCAUUUUGGUUGUAAGUCAUCCACUAAUUAUCUCCUUGUGCCCUUGAACUUUUCUAAGGCAGAGGUGAAGGACUGCAAAGCAGUAACAGCGGAACGCUAGGGCUGUCAGAGCCGCCGCGGGCACCUUCACAGACAGCUUCCCAACCCUCUUGGCAAGCCGGGCCCGGCAAAGGGGCGGGGGAAACACGUCCUUUUGGCUGGACUGGAGCCGCAACCUUCCCUUACGCGGCAAACCUGGCCACUUAGAGAAAAGACAGAAAAAGGAGCAAGUUGCUGUGAGAAUAAAACGUUGGGCGCUGCGAUUCCCGCCAGUUUCAGCUUGCUGGUUACAAGGUGAAGAAGGUGGCAAGAAAAGGAAAACCUUAUGCCAAGGAACCAGAAACCCAGGAUUUUCACGAAAUCUAGCUCAUACAGGAAUUAAGCUCAAGAGCUUGGAUGUUUGCUGACUGGCAACAAUUCAGAAAUGGUGGAGAUAGCAUACAUCAAUCUGUGUUGGCAAAGAUGAUGUGAAGCAGAGCCUUUGUGGUCCUAACAUGUUUGAGAUAAAAACUUUUUUGGUUUUAGGACUGUUUAUUACAGCAGCACAAUUUGCCUAUUCUGACUCGUAUGAGCAGGUUCAUAACAGCAAAAUGAGGGUCUGAGCUUUAGAAAGACCAGGCAGAUGGUUCCAUGCUUUGUCUCCCAGCUGUACAUUCUUUCUUGUUUCCUGUUUAUUGAUCUCAUCCAUUGGAGAACUCCCUGAAAGCACAUAUUUGUGCCACACUUAGCAUUGUAUUCUAGGAUCUCAAAUGUGUGUUGAGUGCAUGAGUCAAAUAUUUGACAAGAAGACCCGGACUAUAACUAGCCCUGACAAGUUACAAAUUUAGUUUCUUGUGAGGUUUCUUUAUAGGCAUCCAACGUACCACAAAACCCUGGUGUACAAUAAAAUAUGCCCAAAGUAAAUGGCUUAAAACACUUUUCACCCAAUUCUGAAUUCAGCUGGGUAGUCUUGCUCAGUGUAGUAUCUGCUGUGGCUAGAAUAUCCAAGAUAGUUCCUCACUCACACCUUUGGUAAUUAUCUGGCAUGGCUGAUCAGCUGGGGUUUAACCAGGCAUCUUUGUCUCAAACCUGGUUUUCUCCUGCAGUAACCAGACCUCUUUAUGUAGCGGCUCAGGGUUCCAAGAGGACAGGCCCUUAUGUGCAAGCACUUAUCAAGCCUCUGAUAAUGUCCCAUGGGGCCAAAUAACACUUGCCAAGAAUCAGUAUAUAAAGGGGCUACACAAGAGUGCAAAUACCAAGUGUGGUUCAUAGGGGGGCACCAGUGUUAACAGUCUACCCAAUUUGGUCAUCCUAAAGCAGUUUACUGAAGUCAUGAUGCCUCAUUUUACAAAUAAAAAAGCAAAGUAUCAGAGAUUAAAUCAUUUGACCAGAAUGUGGGUAAAUGGAAACAUGUGAGGUAAAUGGAAAAGAAAGAGACCAUUUUAAAAGGUCUGUGACUAUAAGAACAGGAGAAUCCUUGCUCUCUUCUUCACUAGAAUGAUAAGUGCCAACUUAAAGCAAACCAACUCUCUCUCUUCCUCUAUGCUUGCCAUAUUUUUAGUUCUCGUCUUCCUGAGAAGGAAGGAAAUGGUUAAGUUAAACAAGAAUGAAGUCACCAGGAACU